GUAAAAAGUAGAAUAAUAGAUUUGAAAUAUUUAUUAUAUAGAUUUAAAGAGAUAAUCAUGGAGUAUAAUAAUUAAAUUUAAUAAAUUUAAUAUAACUAUUAAUAGAAUUAGGUUACUAAUAAAUUAAUAACAAUUAAUUUUAAAACCUAAAGGUAAACCUUUAUAUUAAUAAUGUUAUUUUUUAUUAUAUUUAUAAUAAGAAUAAUUAUUAAUAAUAAUAAACUAAGUGAACUGAAACAUCUAAGUAACUUAAGGAUAAGAAAUCAACAGAGAUAUUAUGAGUAUUGGUGAGAGAAAAUAAUAAAGGUCUAAUAAGUAUUAUGUGAAAAAAAUGUAAGAAAAUAGGAUAACAAAUUCUAAGACUAAAUACUAUUAAUAAGUAUAGUAAGUACCGUAAGGGAAAGUAUGAAAAUGAUUAUUUUAUAAGCAAUCAUGAAUAUAUUAUAUUAUAUUAAUGAUGUACCUUUUGUAUAAUGGGUCAGCAAGUAAUUAAUAUUAGUAAAACAAUAAGUUAUAAAUAAAUAGAAUAAUAUAUAUAUAUAAAAAAAUAUAUUAAAAUAUUUAAUUAAUAUUAAUUGACCCGAAAGCAAACGAUCUAACUAUGAUAAGAUGGAUAAACGAUCGAACAGGUUGAUGUUGCAAUAUCAUCUGAUUAAUUGUGGUUAGUAGUGAAAGACAAAUCUGGUUUGCAGAUAGCUGGUUUUCUAUGAAAUAUAUGUAAGUAUAGCCUUUAUAAAUAAUAAUUAUUAUAUAAUAUUAUAUUAAUAUUAUAUAAAGAAUGGUACAGCAAUUAAUAUAUAUUAGGGAACUAUUAAAGUUUUAUUAAUAAUAUUAAAUCUCGAAAUAUUUAAUUAUAUAUAAUAAAGAGUCAGAUUAUGUGCGAUAAGGUAAAUAAUCUAAAGGGAAACAGCCCAGAUUAAGAUAUAAAGUUCCUAAUAAAUAAUAAGUGAAAUAAAUAUUAAAAUAUUAUAAUAUAAUCAGUUAAUGGGUUUGACAAUAACCAUUUUUUAAUGAACAUGUAACAAUGCACUGAUUUAUAAUAAAUAAAAAAAAAAUAAUAUUUAAAAUCAAAUAUAUAUAUAUUUGUUAAUAGAUAAUAUACGGAUCUUAAUAAUAAGAAUUAUUUAAUUCCUAAUAUGGAAUAUUAUAUUUUUAUAAUAAAAAUAUAAAUACUGAAUAUCUAAAUAUUAUUAUUACUUUUUUUUUUUAAUAAUAAUAAUAUGGUAAUAGAACAUUUAAUGAUAAUAUAUAUUAGUUAUUAAUUAAUAUAUGUAUUAAUUAAAUAGAGAAUGCUGACAUGAGUAACGAAAAAAAGGUAUAAACCUUUUCACCUAAAACAUAAGGUUUAACUAUAAAAGUACGGCCCCUAAUUAAAUUAAUAAGAAUAUAAAUAUAUUUAAGAUGGGAUAAUCUAUAUUAAUAAAAAUUUAUCUUAAAAUAUAUAUAUUAUUAAUAAUUAUAUUAAUAAUAUAUAUAAUUAUAUUAUAUAUUAUAUAUUUUUUUAUAUAAUAUAAACUAAUAAAGAUCAGGAAAUAAUUAAUGUAUACCGUAAUGUAGACCGACUCAGGUAUGUAAGUAGAGAAUAUGAAGGUGAAUUAGAUAAUUAAAGGGAAGGAACUCGGCAAAGAUAGCUCAUAAGUUAGUCAAUAAAGAGUAAUAAGAACAAAGUUGUACAACUGUUUACUAAAAACACCGCACUUUGCAGAAACGAUAAGUUUAAGUAUAAGGUGUGAACUCUGCUCCAUGCUUAAUAUAUAAAUAAAAUUAUUUAACGAUAAUUUUAUUAAAUUUAGGUAAAUAGCAGCCUUAUUAUGAGGGUUAUAAUGUAGCGAAAUUCCUUGGCCUAUAAUUGAGGUCCCGCAUGAAUGACGUAAUGAUACAACAACUGUCUCCCCUUUAAGCUAAGUGAAAUUGAAAUCGUAGUGAAGAUGCUAUGUACCUUCAGCAAGACGGAAAGACCCUAUGCAGCUUUACUGUAAUUAGAUAGAUCGAAUUAUUGUUUAUUAUAUUCAGCAUAUUAAGUAAUCCUAUUAUUAGGUAAUCGUUUAGAUAUUAAUGAGAUACUUAUUAUAAUAUAAUGAUAAUUCUAAUCUUAUAAAUAAUUAUUAUUAUUAUUAUUAAUAAUAAUAAUAUGCUUUCAAGCAUAGUGAUAAAACAUAUUUAUAUGAUAAUCACUUUACUUAAUAGAUAUAAUUCUUAAGUAAUAUAUAAUAUAUAUUUUAUAUAUAUUAUAUAUAAUAUAAGAGACAAUCUCUAAUUGGUAGUUUUGAUGGGGCGUCAUUAUCAGCAAAAGUAUCUGAAUAAGUCCAUAAAUAAAUAUAUAAAAUUAUUGAAUAAAAAAAAAUAAUAUAUAUUAUAUAUAUUAAUUAUAAAUUGAAAUAUGUUUAUAUAAAUUUAUAUUUAUUGAAUAUAUUUUAGUAAUAGAUAAAAAUAUGUACAGUAAAAUUGUAAGGAAAACAAUAAUAACUUUCCUCAAAAAAUAAUUAUGGAAAGAAUUAAAUUAAUAUAAUGGUAUAACUGUGCGAUAAUUGUAACACAAACGAGUGAAACAAGUACGUAAGUAUGGCAUAAUGAACAAAUAACACUGAUUGUAAAGGUUAUUGAUAACGAAUAAAAGUUACGCUAGGGAUAACAGGGUAAUAUAACGAAAGAGUAGAUAUUGUAAGUUAUGUUUGCCACCUCGAUGUCGACUCAACAUUUCCUCUUGGUUGUAAAAGCUAAGAAGGGUUUGACUGUUCGUCAAUUAAAAUGUUACGUGAGUUGGGUUAAAUACGAUGUGAAUCAGUAUGGUUCCUAUCUGCUGAAGGAAAUAUUAUCAAAUUAAAUCUCAUUAUUAGUACGCAAGGACCAUAAUGAAUCAACCCAUGGUGUAUCUAUUGAUAAUAAUAUAAUAUAUUUAAUAAAAAUAAUACUUUAUUAAUAUAUUAUCUAUAUUAGUUUAUAUUUUAAUUAUAUAUUAUCAUAGUAGAUAAGCUAAGUUGAUAAUAAAUAAAUAUUGAAUACAUAUUAAAUAUGAAGUUGUUUUAAUAAGAUAAUUAAUCUGAUAAUUUUAUACUAAAAUUAAUAAUUAUAGGUUUUAUAUAUUAUUUAUAAAUAAAUAUAUUAUAAUAAUAAUAAUUAUUAUUAUUAAUAAAAAAUAUUAAUUAUAAUAUUAAUAAAAUACUAAUUUAUCAGUUAUCUAUAUAAUAUCUAAUCUAUUAUUCUAUAUACU
rnacentral:rRNA from 1 species